UGCAGAAUCCCGUGAACCAUCGAGUCUUUGAACGCAAGUUGCGCCCUAGACCAUUAGGUUGAGGGCACGCCUGCCUGGGCGUCACGC
rnacentral:rRNA from 1 species